rnacentral:rRNA from 1 species
UACGUAGGGGGCAAGCGUUGUCCGGAUUUAUUGGGCGUAAAGAGCGUGUAGGCGGCCAGACAGGUCCGUUGUGAAACUCGAGGCUCAACCUCGAGACGCCGAUGGAAACCGUCUGGCUAGAGUCCGGAAGAGGAGAGUGGAAUUCCGUGGUGUAGCGGUGAAAUGCGCAGAUAUCAGGAAGAACACCCGUGGCUAAGGCGGCUCUCUAGUACGGUACUGACGCUGAGACGCGAAAGCGUGGGGAGCGAACAGG